ensembl:lncRNA
CCCUUGUCCUGGCUGCUGGAACAUUCCUUUCAGGAUUUCCCAGGUAGAAAUACUGGACCGGGUUGCCAUUUCCUUCUCCAGCAGGGUGAGGUAACCACCCUGAAUUGAACAUCUGCAAAAACUCAGCCACACAGGUUCAGGUAUCUCGGGCUCCAUAGCGACCAGCAAUUCCUGGGGCGCGCAGCCUCCAGCCUUGUUGCCGGAGUCUCUUUCCUCCCUGGGCCUCCGUCUCACGCCCACAGCCCUUCGCAGGAAGCCGACUCCCAAACCCGGGCAGGGGGUGUGGGCCGAGGACGAAACCCCGCCCCCAGGGGUCCCUGAUCUUUGCCCCCGCCCCGGGCUCCGCGCCUCCCCUGGAGGCCACCGGCGGGCCGGCGGGCGCCGCUGCC